UACCAGCACCCCGAGUGGUCGGGACGUUUAUUGAGCCUAAAGCAUCCGUAGCCGGUUCUACAAGUCUUCCGUUAAAUCCACCUGCUUAACAGAUGGGCUGCGGAAGAUACUAUAGAGCUAGGAGGCGGGAGAGGCAAGCGGUACUCGAUGGGUAGGGGUAAAAUCCGUUGAUCCAUUGAAGGCCACCAGUGGCGAAGGCGGCUUGCCAGAACGCGCUCGACGGUGAGGGAUGAAAGCUGGGGGAGCAAACCGG
rnacentral:rRNA from 1 species